rnacentral:rRNA from 1 species
UACGAAGGGGGCUAGCGUUGCUCGGAAUUACUGGGCGUAAAGCGCACGUAGGCGGCUCUUUAAGUCGGAGGUGAAAUCCUGGAGCUCAACUCCAGAACUGCCUUCGAUACUGUAGAGCUUGAGUUCGGGAGAGGUGAGUGGAACUGCGAGUGUAGAGGUGAAAUUCGUAGAUAUUCGGAAGAACACCAGUGGCGAAGGCGACUUACUGGACACAUAUUGACGCUGAGGUGCGAAAGCGUGGGGAGCAAACAGGG